rnacentral:rRNA from 1 species
AACGCGAAGAACCUUACCUGGGCUCGAACGGCUUUGGCAAACUCGUGGAAACAUGGGUCCUCCCGCAAGGGACCGGAGUCGAGGUGCUGCAUGGCUGUCGUCAGCUCGUGUCGUGAGAUGUUGGGUUAAGUCCCGCAACGAGCGCAACCCUUGUCCUGUUUUGGCAUGCCGCAAGGCGCAACUAUCAGGAGACCGCCAGCGAUAAGUUGGAGGAAGGUGGGGAUGACGUCAAGUCAUCAUGGCCUUUAUGUCCAGGGCCACACACGUGCUACAAUGGGCGGUACAAAGCGCUGCGAACCCGCGAGGGGAAGCUAAUCGCAAAAAACCGUCCUCAGUUCGGAUCGCAGGCUGCAAUUCGCCUGCGUGAAGCUGGAAUCGCUAGUAAUGCCGUAUCAGAACGACGGCGUGAAUACGUUCCCGGGCCUUGUA